AUUGAACGCUGGCGGCAUGCCUUACACAUGCAAGUCGAACGGCAGCACGGGAGCAAUCCUGGUGGCGAGUGGCGAACGGGUGAGUAAUAUAUCGGAACGUGCCCAGUCGUGGGGAUAACGUAGCGAAAGCUACGCUAAUACCGCAUACGAUCUAUGGAUGAAAGCGGGGGAUCGCAAGACCUCGCGCGAUUGGAGCGGCCGAUAUCAGAUUAGGUAGUUGGUGAGGUAAAGGCUCACCAAGCCGACGAUCUGUAGCUGGUCUGAGAGGACGACCAGCCACACUGGGACUGAGACACGGCCCAGACUCCUACGGAGGCAGCAGUGGGAAUUUUGGACAAUGGGCGCAAGCCUGAUCCAGCAAUGCCGCGUGCAGGAUGAAGGCC
rnacentral:rRNA from 1 species